rnacentral:lncRNA from 1 species
CCACGACCAGCCGGAACUCCCACUCAGAGAAUGUACAACUCCUCUGCCACAACGUGAGGGAGAGAAGUCUGCAGACGGCUGACUGGUGACGACUGAACAAGACGGAAAGGCAAGUCGCUAUGCCCGAAGCCUUUGAAGGGAGCCAGCAGGGUCCAUGGGAGGUUCAGGACACAUAUCUGCAGCCCUGCUUCUGGCCCCACCCUUGGGGAAGCCUUUUGCAGGUGAUCCUGGGCCUCUGCUGGGGAAGGCCCCAAGAGGUGAAGCAUCCUCUGCAGAGGAGAGAGCACAUCCGGAAGUAGAAGACAGACCACUGUCUGGGCUCCGUUUAACUGCUGUGAUUUGGGAUUGUAACUUACUCCCGUAAAGCCUCAGUUUCCCACAUGGAAAAUCAAAUCGAUCAUUGUUAUAACAUUUCACUUUUUUGUUAUGUGAUGUAAUUUACACAGUGCUUUCGUAUACGUUAUCCAAUUUAGCGAAAUAAUACAGAGCAAUGCAUUUUGAAAAGAAUAAAAUGCUUAACAUAUGUGAGGAAUUCUUUUUUCCUUUGAAAACUACUCCGGAUGGCUUGGCUAUUGUUUAGUUAAGAGAAUUAUACAAUUUUUGAGACAUGGUUCCUUAUCUUGUGUAGGCUGAAAGGCAAUUAAACAAUUAUUCAUGUCAGAAUCUGAGGUAAAUAAAAGGCUGCUUCAAAGAGUCCACUUACGGAGUGAAAAGCAGUUGAGUAGAAACAGAGAGUGGUCUGUAAUUUCCUUCUGGAAGGAAUAUCCACUCCAUAUGGCCUGAAGCAAGAAUUUCAAACUCCUACGUGUGACCUUUACACAGCCAGGACCCCCAUAGAGCAGCCAAACAUGCAGUCUUGUAAACAAAAGGAAUUUCAAGAUAACUCUGAUCUUUCACUAAUUAUCCCAAAGCCCAAAGGGGAUCCAUAUACAUAGUCCGAAGCCUACUUUAAGGAGGCAUCCUCCCCUGUGUAUUCCCAGCCCAUCCCAUAGUU